rnacentral:lncRNA from 1 species
GUUGAUAGUGUAGGCAACAAAUUAAGAAACAUUCAAAAUAUGAAUAGUUUGUAUAUGGCUCUCGUUUUUUGCAAUAGUUUUUGCAUGCUCGCCGGCAACCGCUUGCUCUGGGUACACACUUUCUAACCUGAGUUACUACUUCCGUACCACUUCUUCUACCAAGUGAACAAAAGGAGAAAAUCUUACAGCUUACCCGGAUUUAUAAUUGUAGAUAACAAACAAACUCCGCUAGGACUACCC